rnacentral:rRNA from 1 species
GACAGAGGGUGCAAACGUUGUUCGGAAUUACUGGGCGUAAAGGGCGCGUAGGCGGCCUUCUAAGUCAGACGUGAAAUCCCUCGGCUCAACCGGGGAACUGCGUCUGAGACUGGAAGGCUUGAAUCCGGGAGAGGGAUGUGGAAUUCCAGGUGUAGCGGUGAAAUGCGUAGAUAUCUGGAGGAACACCGGUGGCGAAGGCGGCAUCCUGGACCGGUAUUGACGCUGAGGCGCGAAAGCCAGGGGAGCAAACGGG